rnacentral:rRNA from 1 species
CCUACGGGAGGCAGCAGUGGGGGAUAUUGCACAAUGGGCGGAACCCUGAUGCAGCGACGCCGCGUGGGUGAAGACGGGCCUCGGGGCGUUAAGCCCUGUCAGUAGGGGAGAAAAUGACGGUACGUGUAGCAGAAGCCCCGUCUAACUCCGUGCAAGCAGCCGCGGUAAUACGGCGGAUGCGGCCGUUAUCCGGAUUUAUGGGGUUUAAAGGGUGCGUAGGCGGGCUUUUGAGUCAGCGGUAAAAAUUCGGGGCUCAACCUCGACCGGCCGUUGAAACUGGUGGCCUUGCGUGCGCGAGAGGAAGGCGGAAUGCGUGGUGUAGCGGUGAAAUGCAUAGAUAUCACGCAGAACCCCGAUUGCGAAGGCAGCCUUCCGGCGCCCUACUGACGCUGAGGCACGAAAGUGCGGGGAUCGAACAGGAUUAGAUACCCCUGUAGUC